ACGGAGUGCGUAACGCGUGGGAAUCUGCCCUUGGGUUCGGAAUAACUCGCCGAAAGGCGUGCUAAUACCGGAUGAUGUCGUAAGACCAAAGAUUUAUCGCCCAAGGAUGAGCCCGCGUAAGAUUAGCUAGUUGGUGGGGUAAAGGCCCACCAAGGCGACGAUCUUUAGCUGGUCUGAGAGGAUGAUCAGCCACACUGGGACUGAGACACGGCCCAGACUCCUACGGGAGGCAGCAGUGGGGAAUAUUGGACAAUGGGCGAAAGCCUGAUCCAGCAAUGCCGCGUGAGUGAUGAAGGCCUUAGGGUUGUAAAGCUCUUUUACCCGGGAUGAUAAUGACAGUACCGGGAGAAUAAGCUCCGGCUAACUCCGUGCCAGCAGCCGCGGUAAUACGGAGGGAGCUAGCGUUGUUCGGAAUUACUGGGCGUAAAGCGCACGUAGGCGGCUUUGUAAGUCAGAGGUGAAAGCCUGGAGCUCAACUCCAGAACUGCCUUUGAGACUGCAUCGCUUGAAUCCAGGAGAGGUGAGUGGAAUUCCGAGUGUAGAGGUGAAAUUCGUAGA
rnacentral:rRNA from 1 species